rnacentral:rRNA from 1 species
AAGCUCGUAGUUGAUUUCGGGGUCAGCAGGUUGGUCGUGCCAAUGGUAUGAACUGGCCUUGCUGAUUCCUCCCUCUUGAUGAGCCGUAAUGCCAUUAAUUUGGUGUUGCGGGGAAUCAGGACUGUUACUUUGAAAAAAUUAGAGUGUUUAAAGCAGGCAAGCGCUUGAAUACAUUAGCAUGGAAUAAUGAAAUAGGACGUUUGAUCCUAUUUUGUUGGUUUCUAGGAUUGACGUAAUGAUUAAUAGGGAUAGUUGGG